rnacentral:lncRNA from 1 species
ACACAUCUGAACAUCAGAAGUGACAAACUCCAGACACGCCACCUUAAGAGCUGUAACACUCACCGCGAGGGUCCGCGGCUUUAUUCUUGAAGUCAGUGAGACCAAGAACCCACCAAUUCUGGACACACUACCUUUCCAUGGAUUCAUAUGCAUUAACAAUUUACGGCUUCGUACAGGAAUUCUCAAGUGUUAGUUUACAUUAUAAUCACAUGAGCAAUGAGUUUAAAGUGCCACUGUCAAAAUCUAGCUUUAAACUUAGACAUACUUUGUAAGUCACAUAAAAUAAUAAUAAUAAUGUUGAUAUGACCACCAUUGGUUUUAUCAACUUAAACUCCUCUUCAAAAUUUACUCUAACUUCAGUUGUGGCAUCAAACUCAUCCGGUACUGGACUAAGCUCUCAGUUUUCAAGUUCUGGCUGCUUCUGAGAGUUGCAUCUGCCUUCAGUUCAUUGGCUUUGAAUGUUUGAAUCAUUAGAGGUAUGGCUUUCCAGCAUGCUGUUCAGUGAAGAGUUAAUUACUGCAUACAUCACACCUUCCAUGUGCUGGAAAAGGACCAAUGAGCCUACAGGUGGUGACUCUAUAGGCGCAAAUGUUCUUGCAAGGGCAUGAAUUAAAAAAAAAAAAAAAAACAUUUCAGGCAAACAACCAGCAAGUAUGAGUGUCAAAAACUAGAGAGCAUCUCAAAAACUAGAGAGCAAUUGGUAUUACCUCAGAAAGUCAUCAGCAUACCAAAAUGUGUCAAAAUUGAAAGCACCAGAGAAAUCACUUUGGCAAGUAUAAGAAAAAGCACGAGGCUGCAAUAAAUUCUAUUCAAUACUGGACAUGGGGUUGCUGUCUUACAGGCUUUGGGGUCCCAUUCACUCAGGUGCACAUGUUUCCACUUCUUGGUAUGACUUCAAGAUCUCAAAAUUUUCCGAAAAACAUACUUUUCUUUCCUUUUAAAUGAAUUAGUUGGGCCAAUAUUAACUGUUGUAAUAAAAUACAAUAUUUCAGUGCUUUAAGACAAUAGAAAUGUAUUUCUUGCUCAUGAAACAGUAUAAUGUGGAUGUUCCUAGUGCAGAGGUGACUUUGUCCAGACAACAAUAAGAGAACCCAGGCUCCUUUCCAACUUAGGGUUUCACCUUCCCCUUGAGUGUCAGAGUCCUUGACAACUAGCCAAUAGAUGAGGAAAUACAAGAUGAGGAGAACACAUCUUCAUCUUAACUGCCUUUGAUCAAAAGGAAUAAGCAGCACUUCUACUCAUAGAUCUUUAGCAAGGUCUGGUCACGUGGCCUCAUGUAGAUUUAAGGGGUCGGGGAGUCAACAACUCUAAUCUCUGGAUGCUCAUCCAAUUUCCAGCAUGGAUUCAAUAGCAAGCUGAUUUUCUUCAUUCCUUGAGCUGUGGCCUGAAUGUUUGUGUUCCCCCAAAAUUGACAUGUUGAAACCAAAUCCCCAAUGUGGUGGUAUUAAGAGGUGGGGCCUUUUGAAAAUGAAUGAGAUUCGUGCUCCUAUAACAGAUGCCCAAAGGAGCUUGUUUGCCCCUUCUGCCAUGUGAGGAUGCAGCAAGAAGGUGAGUGCAUCUGUGCAGCAGAGAGCAAGCCCUUAUUAGACAUAAGAUCUGCCAGCACUUAGAUUUCCCAGCCUUUAGAACUAUAAGCAAUAAAUUUCUGUUGUUUAUAAGCCACCCAGUAUAUGAAAUUUUUGUUGUAGCAGACCAAACAGACUGACACCUUGUGUUAUGGUUUGGCUCUGUCCCCACCCAAAUCUCAUCUUGAAUUCUCACGUGCUGUGGGAGGGACCCAGUGGGAGGUAAUUGAAUCAUGGUGGCAAGUCUUUCCCAUGCUGUUCUUGUGAUAGUGAAUAAGUCUCAUGAGAUCUGAUGGUUUUAUAAAGAGGAGUUCCCCUGAACAAGUUCUUUCUCUUUGCCUGCUGCCAUCCUUGUAAGAUGUGACUUGC